rnacentral:rRNA from 1 species
UACAGAGGGGGCAAGCGUUAUUCGGAAUUAUUGGGCGUAAAGGGCGCGUAGGCGGCCAUUCAAGUGACGGGGUGAAAGCCCUCGGCUUAACCGAGGAACUGCCUGUCAGACUGGAUGGCUUGAGACCGGGAGAGGUGAGUGGAAUUCCCAGUGUAGCAGUGAAAUGCGUAGAUAUUGGGAGGAACACCAGUGGCGAAGGCGGCUCACUGGACCGGAACUGACGCUGAGGCGCGAAAGCGUGGGGAGCAAACAGG